rfam:Calypte anna contig57982, whole genome shotgun sequence.
AUGCAUGCUGGGCAAUAAUUUAUGAAACGGAGCUCAGGAAACAACCAAUCAUUUAGUUCCUCCUAACAAGUCCAACUGGCUGUGAAAGCUGGAAGUGCUGCACGGAGCAAUGAAGAGGAGCUAUCCCACAUAUUAAUCUGCUUAUCUAGGGUUGCUUUCUGUAUGCAGAGGGGGGAAAACAAGAGAAAAAGGAAAGAAGAAUCACAGUUUCACUGUUGAAACAAUGUAAUAAAUUUUAACAAACAGGCAAAUCUUCCAUUGGAGUGA